GUGAAAGCUCUAUUUUAGACCAACCUCCUGACAACCAUGAUCACAUAUCUGAAGAUUGUUCCUGACAAAUGUUCAUAUAAGGUCUUUAUAUAAAUAUGUCCAGUCGCAGUAUUGCAUUCACACAGGACUGAAGAUGUUUUGUUUCUUUAAUGUCAUUUAUUAACAAUGAAGUUCAUUAUGCUUUGAUUUUACGAACAAUGAGGAUAUUCAGUUCUUGAACAGAAAUUGUUAGUUAUGCUUUUGAAAUACGAAAACAGUUGAAAGAAUAUUCUGCACACAUUCCUCUUGAAGUAAAGGACUCACACGUCAGAAGACACAUUAGCAUUAGCAUGCAGGCCAGAAGACAACAUCAAGGUAAACUUACAAACUCUGCUAGUCUCUUCUAUGAAAAUAUAUUAAAUUUGCAGUUGUCAUAAGUCAACAUUUGGCCGAAGUUUGAUAAAGUUAGAGGAGGGAUGGCUGAGCAACGGUCAGUAUAUGGUGACCUAACAUAUCAUCCUAAUGAAUGAGGGGAUGAAAUUUUAAUCUGGUCACACAUGUUGC